ACAUGUCUUUUUAGUAUUUAAUAUAAAGUCUGGCCUGCCCACUGAAUAAUAUUUGAAGGGCCGCAGUAUUUUGACUGUGCAAAGGUAGCAUAAUCAUUAGUCUUUUAAUUGAAGGCUGGUAUGAAUGGUCGGAUGAGAUAUAAGCUGUGUCAAAAAAAUUAUUAUUUGAAUUUAACUUUUUAGUCAAAAGGCUAAAAUAAAUUUAAAAGACGAGAAGACCCUAUAGAGCUUUAUAUAAUAAAUAUUUAAAUUAUUAAGAUUUAUUAAAUUUAAUUUUUAUAUUGUAUUUUGUUGGGGUGACAAUAAAAUUUAUAAAACUUUUAUUUUUAUUUAACAUUAAUUUAUGAUUAUAUGAUCCAAUUUUAUUGAUUAUAAAUUUAAGUUACCUUAGGGAUAACAGCGUAAUUUUUUUUGAGAGUUCUUAUCGACAAAAAAGAUUGCGACCUCGAUGUUGGAUUAAGAGUAAUUUUGGGUGUAGAAGUUCAAAAUUUAAGUCUGUUCGACUUUUGAAUUCUUACAUGAUC
rnacentral:rRNA from 1 species